rnacentral:lncRNA from 1 species
UAUUCAUGAUUAAUGAACAAUUAAAUAACUAAUCACGCAAACCCAUUUAUACUUUCUCAAAUUUGACUUGAACCAUUUAUUAAGUGCUGUUGUUUUCACUUGAAUGAGACAGGGUGGUGUUUGUUCAAUCAACCCAACACACAGAUGACACACAAACAUCGGGUGGAUAACUACUUGACCAUGCCAAGUAAAACAUUCGGUGGCUGUUACACAACACUUACUACGUAGAGUGUGUCUUGGAUACACUAGUAAAGGCUGGUUGAACAAUAGCCACGGCCACGAUACCAGAAAAAAAGAAAAGAGAGUGCCCCCGCGGAGCAAAGCUGCUUCUUAUUCGACGGCAGAU